CCUACGGGUGGCAGCAGUGAGGAAUAUUGGUCAAUGGCCGAGAGGCUGAACCAGCCAAAUCGCGUGAGGGAUGACGGCCCUACGGGUUGUAAACCUCUUUUGUCGGGGAGCAAAGAGAGUCACGUGUGGCUCAUUGAGAGUACCCGAAGAAAAAGCAUCGGCUAACUCCGUGCCAGCAGCCGCGGUAAUACGGAGGAUCCAAGCGUUAUCCGGAUUUAUUGGGUUUAAAGGGUGCGUAGGCGGAUUGAUAAGUUAGAGGUGAAAUGUCCGAGCUUAACUCGGGAACUGCCUCUAAUACUGUUGAUCUAGAGAGUAGAUGCGGUAGGCGGAAUGUAUGGUGUAGCGGUGAAAUGCUUAGAGAUCAUACAGAACACCGAUUGCGAAGGCAGCUUACCAAUCUAUAUCUGACGUUGAGGCACGAAAGCGUGGGGAGCAAACAGGAUUAGAUACCCGGGUAGUC
rnacentral:rRNA from 1 species